rnacentral:rRNA from 1 species
UAUGCCUACGGGGCGCAGCAGUGGGGAAUAUUGGGCAAUGGGCGCAAGCCUGACCCAGCAACGCCGCGUGAAGGAAGAAGGCUUUCGGGUUGUAAACUUCUUUUCUCAGGGACGAAGAAAGUGACGGUACCUGAGGAAUAAGCCACGGCUAACUACGUGCCAGCAGCCGCGGUAAUACGUAGGUGGCAAGCGUUAUCCGGAUUUAUUGGGUGUAAAGGGCGUGUAGGCGGGAAUGCAAGUCAGAUGUGAAAACUAUGGGCUCAACCCAUAGCCUGCAUUUGAAACUGUCUUUCU